CGCAGCUACCAUGCAAGUCGAGCGGAGAUGAGGUGCUUGCACCUUAUCUUAGCGGCGGACGGGCGAGUAAUGCUUAGGAAUCUGCCUAUUAGUGGGGGACAACAUUCCGAAAGGAAUGCUAAUACCGCAUACGUCCUACGGGAGAAAGCAGGGGAUCUUCGGACCUUGCGCUAAUAGAUGAGCCUAAGUCGGAUUAGCUAGUUGGUGGGGUAAAGGCCUACCAAGGCGACGAUCUGUAGCGGGUCUGAGAGGAUGAUCCGCCACACUGGGACUGAGACACGGCCCAGACUCCUACGGGAGGCAGCAGUGGGGAAUAUUGGACAAUGGGGGGAACCCUGAUCCAGCCAUGCCGCGUGUGUGAAGAAGGCCUUAUGGUUGUAAAGCACUUUAAGCGAGGAGGAGGCUACUGAGACUAAUACUCUUGGAUAGUGGACGUUACUCGCAGAAUAAGCACCGGCUAACUCUGUGCCAGCAGCCGCGGUAAUACAGAGGGUGCGAGCGUUAAUCGGAUUUACUGGGCGUAAAGCGUGCGUAGGCGGCUUUUUAAGUCGGAUGUGAAAUCCCCGAGCUUAACUUGGGAAUUGCAUUCGAUACUGGGAAGCUAGAGUAUGGGAGAGGAUGGUAGAAUUCCAGGUGUAGCGGUGAAAUGUGUAGAGAUCUGGAGGAAUACCGAUGGCGAAGGCAGCCAUCUGGCCUAAUACUGACGCUGAGGUACGAAAGCAUGGGGAGCAAACAGGAUUAGAUACCCUGGUAGUCCAUGCCAUAAACGAUGUCUACUAGCCGUUGGGGCCUUUGAGGCUUUAGUGGCGCAGCUAACGCGAUAAGUAGACCGCCUGGGGAGUACGGUCGCAAG
rnacentral:rRNA from 1 species